GCUCAGUUGGUAGAGCAUGGUGUUUGCAACACCAGGGUUGUGGGUUCGAGUCCCAC
rnacentral:tRNA from 1 species